UUGCUUCUCCAGCACAUGUACUACAAGUAGAACAAUACCGAGGAGAUUAGUAUGGCCUCUGUGCCAGGAUGACAGGCAAAUUCAUGAAGCGUUCCAUGUUAAA